GCCAGCAUGGUGUAGUGGUUUACGCAUUGGACUGCGACUCUGGAGGCCAGGGUUCGAAUCCCAGCUCGGUG